rnacentral:rRNA from 1 species
CCUACGGGUGGCAGCAGUGAGGAAUAUUGGUCAAUGGGCGGAAGCCUGAACCAGCCAAGUAGCGUGCAGGAUGACGGCCCUACGGGUUGUAAACUUCUUUUAUACGGGAAUAACGCGCCUUACGUGUAGGGCUUUGCAUGUACCGUAUGAAUAAGGACCGGCUAAUUCCGUGCCAGCAGCCGCGGUAAUACGGAAGGUCCGGGCGUUAUCCGGAUUUAUUGGGUGUAAAGGGAGCGUAGGCGGCAUGGCAAGCGUGCUGUGAAAUGUCGGGGCUAAACCCGGGCACUGCUGUGGGAACUGGUGAGCUGGAGUGCGGGGAAAGUAGGUGGAAUUCGUAGUGUAGCGGUGAAAUGCGUAGAUAUGAGGAAGAACCCCGGUUGCGAAGGCAGCUUGCUGCACUGUAAGUGACGCUGAUGCUCGAAAGCGUGGGGAGCGAACAGGAUUAGAUACCCUUGUAGUC